rnacentral:rRNA from 1 species
CCUACGGGCGGCAGCAGUGAGGAAUAUUGGUCAAUGGCCGGAAGGCUGAACCAGCCAAGCCGCGUGAAGGACGAAGGUGCCAAGCAUUGUAAACUUCUUUUGUCAAGGGACAAAAUCAGGCUCGAGAGCCUGACCGAGGGUACUUGAAGAAAAAGCAUCGGCUAACUCCGUGCCAGCAGCCGCGGUAAUACGGAGGAUGCGAGCGUUAUCCGGAUUUAUUGGGUUUAAAGGGUGCGUAGGCGGGCGGUUAAGUCAGCGGUAAAAGCCCGGGGCUCAACCCCGGCGAGCCGUUGAAACUGGCUGUCUUGAGAUGUCGAGAGGUAUGCGGAAUGCGCAGUGUAGCGGUGAAAUGCUUAGAUAUUGCGCAGAACUCCGAUUGCGAAGGCAGCAUACCGGCGGCGAUCUGACGUUGAGGCUCGAAAGCGUGGGGAGCGAACAGGAUUAGAUACCCGAGUAGUC